rnacentral:rRNA from 1 species
AUUGAACGCUGGCGGCAUGCCUUACACAUGCAAGUCGAACGCGAAAGGGGGGCAACCCCCGAGUAGAGUGGCGAACGGGUGAGUAAUACAUCGGAACGUAUCCAGUAGCGGGGGAUAACCUCUCGAAAGAGAGGCUAAUACCGCAUACGACCUACGGGUGAAAGAGGGGGAUCGCAAGACCUCUCACUAUUGGAGCGGCCGAUGUCGGAUUAGCUAGUUGGUGGGGUAAUGGCCUACCAAGGCGACGAUCCGUAGCUGGUCUGAGAGGACAACCAGCCACACUGGAACUGAGACACGGUCCAGACUCCUACGGGAGGCAGCAGUGGGGAAUUUUGGACAAUGGGCGAAAGCCUGAUCCAGCCAUGCCGCGUGAGUGAAGAAGGCCUUCGGGUUGUAAAGCUCUUUCGGCGGGGACGAAAAGGUCCGUGCUAACACCAUGGAUCCAUGACGGUACCCGCAGAAGAAGCACCGGCUAACUACGUGCCAGCCGCCGCAGUAAAAC